AAAAACUUUCCGAAUUUUGGCUCAUCGUAGUUACUCGUCUUCGUGACGUCUUCUUUUAAAAAAAUAACAUCCCCGUUGAACAAAAAAAGCUGUUCCUGGGCUUAACACAUAAUCCUUUUUUUAUUCCAUGUCUAUACCGUACUUCAGCUAGUAAAAAAUGGUGAGUCCUUUUUAAACACUCAGUAAGAUGUUUGGGCCCGCGCGUAGGUACUUCACAUUUUUGUUCUGAAACCCUUUUGUCAGAUAAAAAAUUGCUAAAAAUCGGUUGUACACGGCCUUCUAAAACAAACCCGUAAGAGGCAGAAAAAGUCAAGUUAUGAUUCUUUCUAAAGUAGAAAGUAUUGGGGCUUUAGUUGGCCAGCAAUUACUCAAUUUUACCAGAAAGAUUUGUUCCAAUUCCUUGAAAGCGACAUAUGCGGGACACGUUCGAUCUGUGUUGGAGGAGCAGGGUUUUGCUUUAUGGGGGAACCCUUAUACUUCUUCCGAUGGCUUUGCAUUUAGUGGGAGCUGGAAGAAUCCAUGCUUACUCAAUAACUCUCCUAUAGUUUCCAAAGAUUUAUUAUUUCUAGUUAACUGUAAAUACACUAAGAAUCGUUAUGCCAUCUCUUGGUUUCGAGAAUUUGAAGGAGCUACUCUCAAGAAGUCAAGUCCUGUUAUCGGAGUUAUUGCGAGUUCGAAAGGAUUUUCAGGGCCGGUACUUCAGACCCUUUGCCGCUCUCCGACCCCUUUAUUGUUAUGUUGUGUAGAUCCCUUUCGGUGGUAAUAUUAGAAGUGUUAUUUGGACUACUUCGUUCGCUGAAACUUUGCCCAAUUUUCGUUGCGCUUUGAUGAAUCAUGGCAUCUCCUUUUAUUUGGAUGGAGACUUUUCUUCAAAAAAAUAAGAGUUAUUUGAUAACUAUCAAAAUAUAUUUUGUUGAC